rnacentral:lncRNA from 1 species
CGGUUUAUGAACCGCGGCAUAUUCAGUCGCGGUAGUAAGUUAGAGACUUUAGGCCGCGGUUACAACCGCGGUAAAAAGAUUGGGGAAUAUACCGUGAUUGUAGUAGGAAUCGUGGCCCAAACCCUUUUUUUAAAAAAAAAAAACAAAAAAUAUGUCCAGUAUAGGUCGCGCUUAGAACCGCGGUAAAAAACCCAGGAAUAGACCGCGGUUCUUGCACUAACCGCGGC